AAUUUACUCAAACAGUACACUGACUGAACUGCUGUGAAGAGAGAACUGAAGAUGAACACCAAGCCGAGCCAGAUAACGAACGAACACGCCCACUGCUGGAGCGCUUCUCGUUCUCGAGUCAAGAACCAGUUGCAUCGGUUGUCGGAUCACCAGUACACUGAACCAACUGAACUGAGAAUCGUUUCUGUCAGACGCAUCUGCGUUUAGGAUCGAUGAGCUGAUGAUACUGCGUAUGCGUGUAAUUUAACAAGAGGAGAAAAUUAAAUGUGUAAACUAUCAAGACAAAACUUUUGCAAAUGGUAAUCUUCCAUGUCUAUGGCGGUUAAAAUAAUAUGAGAUUCAUCUAGUCAAGUGCAAUUUGACCUGCAAAUGCUCUAUAGAAGUGGAUGAUGACGAAGCCUUCAUCCAAAAAUCCACAGAGGAGACCACAGUGGGAAUCUACAUUCUCAAAUUCCGUGACAGAUCAGAUGACAUCGGGAUUGCUCUGGAAGGCCAGAACAUCUUGCAAGGCUUGGACAACUUUGCGUUAGCUAUGGCAAUGCUUUUUGGUCUUAUGUAUGCCUUAAAUCUCAACUACCCACCUGAAAUGAAAAAUACAUUUGAGGUACUGCAGAAGAUAGUCUUCUGUUUUUUAAUAACUUAAUACUGUUCGUUUACUUCUGUAGCACCUACAUAAAAAUGAGUUGUACUCUUAAAAGAAAUGCAUGAAUUUGACUUCUUAUGAUUUAAAAAUUGAAAACAAAAAUGUCAAGGUAUGCUUUUGACAACUUGAUAUUGUUCACCUUUUCCUCUACACCUGUUUUUGUCUUAAUGUUUGUUUUGUUGCAGUUACUGUAUGAAUGGUUUUUACUGUUCACCUUUUCCACGACAUGUUUGACUGUGCAUUGUCUUUUACUUGAAGUGAUGAAUAAAUGAAAUGAGUAAAGUGA